rnacentral:rRNA from 1 species
AGAGUUUGAUCCUGGCUCAGAACGAACGCUGGCGGCGCGCCUAAUACAUGCAAGUCGAGCGAGAAGACGUAGCAAUACGUUUGUAAAGCGGCGAACGGGUGAGGAAUACAUGGGUAACCUACCCUCGAGUGGGGAAUAACUAGCCGAAAGGUUAGCUAAUACCGCAUACGACUCCUGGUCUGCGGAUCGGGAGGGAAAGCGAUACCGUGGGUAUCGCGCUCUUGGAUGGGCUCAUGUCCUAUCAGCUUGUUGGUGAGGUAAUGGCUCACCAAGGCUUCGACGGGUAGCUGGUCUGAGAGGACGAUCAGCCACACUGGCACUGCGACACGGGCCAGACUCCUACGGGAGGCAGCAGUAAGGAAUAUUGCGCAAUGGGCGACAGCCUGACGCAGCGACGCCGCGUGGGGGAUGAAGGUCUUCGGAUUGUAAACCCCUUUCGGCAGGGAAGAUGGAACGGGUAACCGCUCGGACGGUACCUGCAGAAGCAGCCACGGCUAACUUCGUGCCAGCAGCCGCGGUAAUACGAAGGUGGCAAGCGUUGUUCGGAUUUACUGGGCGUACAGGGAGCGUAGGCGGUUGGGUAAGCCCUCCGUGAAAUCUCCGGGCCUAACCCGGAAAGUGCGGAGGGGACUGCUCGGCUAGAGGAUGGGAGAGGAGCGCGGAAUUCCCGGUGUAGCGGUGAAAUGCGUAGAGAUCGGGAGGAAGGCCGGUGGCGAAGGCGGCGCUCUGGAACAUUUCUGACGCUGAGGCUCGAAAGCGUGGGGAGCAAACAGGAUUAGAUACCCUGGUAGUCCACGCCUUAAACGAUGGAUACUAAGUGUCGGCGGGUUACCGCCGGUGCCGCAGCUAACGCAUUAAGUAUCCCGCCUGGGAAGUACGGCCGCAAGGUUGAAACUCAAAUGAAUUGACGG